rnacentral:ribozyme from 14 species
CUUGCUUGCAUUUGCGGAGAAUGUGGCAGUGUUCAGGAUGGAUGAAAAAAACCAGUCAAAUUUACAACCAGGUUGUUCCAAAUUGUCUGUUGCCCCUUUAUCUUCAUUUUGCCACAGUGGCGCAUUUUGCAUCAGAAA